rnacentral:lncRNA from 1 species
GCUUUGGGGUCAUUCAGGGGGGAUUUUGGGUUUAUUUGGGGGGGAUUUUGGGUUGAUGGGGGGGAUUUGGGGUCAUUAGGGGAGUUUCUGGGGUUUAUUUGGGGGGAUUUGGGGUAAUUCAGGGGAUUUUGGUGUUUAUUUGGGGGAAUUUGGUGUAAUUCAGGGGAUUUUGGUGUUUAUUUGGGGGGGUUUUGGGGUUUUAUUUGGGGUUAUUCAGGGGAUUUUGGGGAUGUUUGGGGGGUUUGGAGGUUAUUCAGGGGGAUUGGGGUAAUUUGGGGGAAUUAUGGCAUCAUUCAGGGAGGGUUUGAGGUUUUAUCUGGGGGGUUUAUGGUCAUUCUGGGAGAUUUGGGGUUUAUUUCGGGGUAUUUCGGGGGUAUUUUGGGCUCUUUUGGCAGAAUUUGGGGGUUUUUGGGGUGCUUUGGGGUCUCACCCGGAACGUGCUCUUGUAGCCGCGCCGGGGCCGCAGCAGCAUGGCCAGCACCUGGGGGAGGGGCACCGCCGCCCAGUUCGGCCCAGUUCGGCCCAGUUCGGGCCCAUUUUGCCCCAGUUUGCCCCAUUUCACCCCAGUUUGCCCCAGUUAAUCCCAGUUUGCCCAGUAGCGGGGGAGGCGUGGCCAUGGGGGGGAGGGGUCCAGGCCCUGCCCCUCCCCCUCCCCUCCCGGCCGGACUUUGACCCCCCCCCGGAGUCAUCGUGCGAGAGCGGCGGAACUGGGAGCACUGGGAGAUACUGGGGGGACUGGGAGCACUGGGAGAUACUGGGAGGGUUGUGGGGGGGCACUGGGAAGGCACUGGGAGCACUGGGAACACUGGGAGGGACUGGAGGGGGCACUGAGAGGAACUGGAAGGGGCACUGGGAAGGCACUGGGAGCACUGGGAUGAGCCCCAGCAGGGCCCGAGUGGAACUGGGAAGGUCCAGGAGGGAACUGGGAGCACUGGGAGGGGACUGGGAGCCCCGAGGAGUCACUGGGGUUACUGGGAGGGGACACUGGGGUUACUGGGAGGGGACACUGGCUAACUGGGAGGGGACCCUGGGGUUACUGGGAGGGGUUAGUGGUGGCACUGGUGUCACUGGGAGGGUCACUGGGGUUACUGGUGGCCCUGGCUGGGUUACUGGGAGGAGUUACUGGGAGGGGACACUGGGUAACUGGGAGGGGGCACUGGGGUUACUGGGAGGGGACACUGGGGUUACUGGGAGGGGACACUGGCUAACUGGGAGGGGACCCUGGGGUUACUGGGAGGGGACCCUGGGGUUACUGGGAGGGGUUAGUGGUGGCACUGGUGUCACUGGGAGGGUCACUGGGGUUACUGGUGGCCCUGGCUGGGUUACUGGGAGGGGUAACUGGGAGGGUAACUGGGGUUACUGGUAUUACUGGGGUUACUGGUGCCACCGGGACGAGUUACUGGGAUGGGGUUGCUGGUGGCA